UACGGGAGGCAGCAGUGGGGAAUUUUCCGCAAUGGGCGCAAGCCUGACGGAGCAACGCCGUGUGUGGGAAGAAGGCUCUUGGGCUGUCAACCACUUUUCUCAGGGAAGAAGUCCUGACGGUACCUGAGGAAUCAGCCUCGGUUAACUCCGUGCCAGCAGCCGCGGUAAUACGGAGGAGGCAAGCGUAAUCCGGAAUAAUUGGGCGUAAAGCGUCCGCAGGGGGCACUUUCAAGUCUGCUGUCAAAGGUCGGAGCUUAACUCCGGUUCGGCAGUGGAAACUGGAGCGCUAGAGGGCGACAGGGGUAGAGGGAAUUCCCAGUGUAGCGGUGAAAUGCGUAGAGAUUGGGAAGAACACCGGUGGCGAAAGCGCUCUACUGGGUCGCACCUGACCCUCAGGGACGAAAGCUAAGGUAGCGAAAGGGAUUAGAUACCCCUGUAGUCUUAGCCGUAAACGAUGGAUACUAGGCGUGGUUUGUAUCGACCCAAGCCGUGCCGAAGCUAACGCGUUAAGUAUCCCGCCUGGGGAGUACGCACGCAAGUGUGAAACUCAAAGGAAUUGACGGGGGCCCGCACAAGCGGUGGAGGAUGUGGUUAAAUUCGAUGCAACGCGAAGAACCUUACCAGGGCUUGACAUCCCGCGAAUCUUGCUGAAAGGCGAGAGUGCCUUCGGGAGCGCGGAGACAGGUGGUGCAUGGCUGUCGUCAGCUCGUGUCGUGAGAUGUUGGGUUAAGUCCCGCAACGAGCGCAACCCUCGUCCUUAGUUGCCAGCAUUAAGUUGGGCACUCUAGGGAGACUGCCGGUGACAAACCGGAGGAAGGUGAGGAUGACGUCAAGUCAGCAUGCCCCUUAUGCUCUGGGCAACACACGUCCUACAAUGGUCGGGACAAAGGGGAGCAAGCUCGCGAGAGUAAGCGAAUCCCAGCAAACUCGGCCUCAGUUCAGAUUGCAGGCUGCAACUCGCCUGCAUGAAGGAGGAAUCGCUAGUAAUCGCAGGUCAGCAUACUGCGGUGAAUUCGUUCCCGGGCCUUGUACACACCGCCCGUCACACCAUGGAAGCUGGCCAAGCCCGAAGUCGUUACCCUAACCGUUUGGAGGGGGCGCCGAAGGCUGGGCUAGUG
rnacentral:rRNA from 1 species